rnacentral:tRNA from 1 species
GGGAAGGUAGCUCAGUGGUAGAGUGCUUGCCUAGCUUGCAUGAGGCCCUGGGUUCGAUCCUCAGCACCA